rnacentral:rRNA from 1 species
GAUGAACGCUGGCGGCGUGCCUAAUACAUGCAAGUCGAGCGAACAGACGAGGAUCUUGCUCCUCUGACGUUAGCGGCGGACGGGUGAGUAACACGUGGAUAACCUACCUAUAAGACUGGGAUAACUUCGGGAAACCGGAGCUAAUACCGGAUAAUAUAUUGAACCGCAUGGUUCAAUAGUGAAAGACGGUUUUGCUGUCACUUAUAGAUGGAUCCGCGCCGCAUUAGCUAGUUGGUAAGGUAACGGCUUACCAAGGCAACGAUGCGUAGCCGACCUGAGAGGGUGAUCGGCCACAGUGGAACUGAGACACGGUCCAGACUCCUACGGGAGGCAGCAGUAGGGAAUCUUCCGCAAUGGGCGAAAGCUUGACGGAGCAACGCCGCGUGAGUGAUGAAGGUCUUCGGAUCGUAAAACUCUGUUAUUAGGGAAGAACAAAUGUGUAAGUAACUAUGCACGUCUUGACGGUACCUAAUCAGAAAGCCACGGCUAACUACGUG